rnacentral:rRNA from 1 species
GCCCUAAACCAUGGAAAUGCUUAGGACGAGCUAUUCAAGCUCCAUAAACACACAGGGUUUGGUCCCAGCCUUCUUAUUAGCUGCUAGUAAAUUUACACAUGCAAGUUACCGCACUCCCGUGAAAAUGCCCUCUAGGCCACACUGACCAAAAGGAGCAGGUAUCAAGCUCACUCACUAAUACAAAUGUAGCUCACAACACCUUGCUAAGCCACACCCCCACGGGUAACAGCAGUGAUAAAAAUUAGGCAAUGAACGAAGGUUUGACCGUAGUCAUACUAAUUUACCUAUAAGGGUUGGUAAAUUUCGUGCCAGCCAGCGCGGUCAUACGAUUUUCCCUAGU